rnacentral:rRNA from 1 species
UACGUAGGGGGCAAGCGUUGUCCGGAUUUAUUGGGCGUAAAGAGCGUGUAGGCGGCCAGGUAGGUCCGUUGUGAAAACUCGAGGCUCAACCUCGAGACGUCGAUGGAAACCAUCUGGCUAGAGUCCGGAAGAGGAGAGUGGAAUUCCUGGUGUAGCGGUGAAAUGCGCAGAUAUCAGGAAGAACACCAGUGGCGAAGGCGGCUCACUGGCCCGAUACUGACGCUGAGGCACGAAAGCGUGGGGAGCAAACAGG